GUGAUUCAUUCGAAGACGCCCAUCAGAGGCCUGCUCCCACAGAGUGAGAUAUUAACAAGAGUAACACAUAAUAAUACCGAACCAUUAUAACAAUAUACUGUAAUGAAAAUUACGUACUGUGAUGUAGUCUCUCUCAAAAUAUUUGGUUAUAUCACGCUCACCCUUCUUGGAACAACGUCAGAGGAUAACACGCUUACGAGCUGAGCCAACGUUCUAGGGUAAAUGACGCAGCGCCGUGACGUCGCGUUAGUCUACUGUCGACCUUCUGAUGAUUCGCCAAGAAGAUCCUCACCUUCUGAAUGGUGGUUCACGCGGUUAACGAAACUGCGAGAGUGAAACUGCAGAUGAGUGGGGGGUGAGCUCUAUGACUGUGUAUUGGUUUAGCAGGCUCAGGAAUGACUCGGGUGGGAUUUGAACCUGGCCCUUGUACGCAGAGGGAAAGGAGAGACUGGAGAGAGACUCGGAGGGGGCGGGUUUAAAAGCAAGGGAACUGAUCAAGGAGGCUUGGCUCGAGUGCCCUCAGGACAGAGAAUUCCAUCCUUGCCUGCCAGAAUCUUACGAAUGGACAGAGAGGCCUUAACCGGGUUCGGUUGUAUAUGGAAAUGGUCGCAGGGACCUACUGUGCGCUCAGAGCUGCGUCGGUUUAGUGGCUCCUAGUGUGGAGACAGACUGUACAUUCCAAGCCUGGGAGAAGUGAGGAGCCUCAAAGCCUGGGUCCCGCUUGCCAGCCAACCAGUGUCACGUUCUCUCGAUGGUCUCUUCUCAUACUGCAUCUUCCAGGUUAGAUUCCCCAAGGCUUUCUUUCUGAAUUCCUUUGGUAGAAAGGAAGUCAGCUUGACUCAGCUUGUGUUCACCUAACCUGAGUAUAUAGUUGGCCUUUCAUGAAGAACCAAAAAAGGUGAUCCCUAGUUUCCUGUGUGUUAGAAAGAACGAGGAGCCUUUGUGGAAAGAACUUCCGCUUAGAGCAACAAGAAUCAAGACUCAUGCAGACUCCACUCUGAGGACAUGCGAGGCGCUCCUUGCAUCUGUAGCCAGUAGAUGGCGCUGCUUCCACGCUCAGGCAGCCAGGGAGCCCAGGAAGGCUUCUUUCAGGAAGACUGGCAGUAGGAUUUUUUCCCAGAGAAGAUCCUACCUUCACCCUUAGAAGGUUAGUUUGGUUUCCAACAACACAAUUAUGAAGUGUGUAUAUCAACACAUUUUUAAGAUUUG
rnacentral:lncRNA from 1 species